AGAUCAUCCGGGCGUCGGAGCGGGAGGCAGAGAGCGGGGCCCGCGGGAGGCGGAGGAGGCGCCGAGGAUUCAUCGCUUUCCGCCCCACCUGCCUGGGCCCCCCUCCCCCCGCCCCAGCCACCCGAUCCCAAGCUGCGGACCCGGCCGGCGCGGAGACCACGGCGUUCUAGCUCCUGCGCGCGCUCCCGCCCCUAGCGCCGCCGCCGCCUCUAGCGCGGCCCCGCGCACGCGCGCUCUCGACCGCGCUGCCCCUCUCCCUGCCCGGUCCCGCCCCGCGCCGCCGCUCCCCCCACCCCCGGCCCUGCAGCUGCGGCGCGGCCCAUGGGCUGGAGAGACCCGGAUGUGGGAGGGCCGGAACUGCGGCUAGGGCGGGGGAGGGGCUGUGGUGACGUCACUGCCCUGCGCUGCUCCUUAGCCGGCUGCUGUGGGGCCGCCGGCGCCGCGGGCUGAUCCCUUGGGAGCCUCGAAGUCCUGGGUGGGAGCCAGGCGCGCGGCCUUCGUGCUAGAGCGCGGAGGGCCCCCUCCAAACCCGGCGGUCUUCGUCCACACCUGACUCUUACACCUGCCUACAGACGCCAGUCAUCAGGUGCAGUCUCGGUUAGGGCCCGGCGUAGGGGAGUCAGCCUGCCCUUCGACCUCAGGGGGCCCACACGGCUGCCACGGCCAUACCGCAAUCGUGCGUGUGCAACCAGUUCACGCCUUGGGACACGUGCCUCGAGCUUCUGGCGGGUUGUCCCUGAGUCGCUCUAGGGAUUCCGAAUUGUAUUUAUGUGCACGUUACAGGGUCACGUGAUCCGGUCUCAACGGACACUUCCAAAGACCUCCAAAGGGGUUAAUGGAACCGAGGAUUAUUAUUUUUUUUUUAAAUCUAGAGGGUAACCAGAAACAUGACAGCUGCUUUCAUGAAGAGCUAGAGAUGAGCUAAAGGUAAUUGAAGCUGCACGUGCAGGCGACCAGAAUCCAGUUUAGCUAGCUAGACCACAGAAAAUCCGACCCACGCUGCUUGCAGACGCCGGGAUAGAAUGACAAACCCUAGGCAGCCAAUGAAUCAGAGCUGGAAAGCAGUACAUCACCAGUAUGAGUUCCCAUUGGCUGGGGUGCCUUUCCAGCUUUUCAGUCACUGCUUAACCCUUACACCAAAAUCGCAGGAAUAGAAGUUUAAGAGAGAUUCUGGUAUAAUACAAAGAAAAAGCAUAUAUUCCGUUGAAACAGGCUAAUGCUUUAAAUAGAUAUAUAUAUAUAUAUAUAUAUACAUAUAAUAUAUAUGUUAUAUAUAAUAUAUGAAUAUAUAUAUAUUAUAUAUAUAUGUAAAAACUAUUAGCCACAUAGAGUUCAAGCCAGUAAGAUGAAUUGCACUGUGGCCUGCCCCCUCUGGAGCUUACUGAGAUUUGCACCCUGCUACUUUGUGUCUGUUAAAAACAACUCCAUUGUCUUGACUCAAAGAUCAAAUGCAACCUGCUUUUCGCAGACUAUCAUUCCAUAAACUAUUUCUCUACUUUGGAUAUUGUGGAAACCAUGUCCGAUAUUUUCACCAUGACUUGUGGAAAAUGAUUCUCUUUCUUCACUUUCACACCUGACAUCUAACGGCAGGACCACCUAUGACUACCAGUUGCCAGCAGACCCACUGACCCUCCAAAUCACUCAGUAUCUUGGGAAUAAGAUGAAUAUGUAACAUCUCCAGGCGUCUUCCUGGUGCAUAACAGACAACUGGUCAACUGUGUCUACCAAGUCUCUGGACACCAUCUGUGGGGAUGUUGUAGUAUGUAGGAAACUUGUGGGCCAUAAGUUUAACAUUUAAAAGAUUGGAAUUAGACAUUCAUAUUGUCUAAUAUAAGAUGUUCAAUUAUGAUAUUCCCUUCUAGUAUCAAAAUUUUGGUGUUGUUGAUGAGACAGGGUCUCAGAAAAUAAAUAAAAUAAACUGCCAUGUAAAAGUUAAAGAUGAGACACACCUAGUUCCUAUAGGAAGCCUUUUCUGGGUCCCACUCUUAAAUUCAGACAAGGCAUGGCCAAGCCCUUAUCUGCUGUGUUUACUACUUCCAAAGUAUUAGUCCUUCCUUUAUGACCAAUCUCAAGUCAUCAAAAUUAAGUCUCUGAGUUUCCACCACUUAGACAUAAUAUGCACAUAUUACCACCUCAGAAACACACAUAGCCCUGGCUAUCCUGAAAUUCACACUUCCCUCAGCCUCUGAGUGCUGGGAUUAAAGAUAUGACAACCAUGAGAAAAGGGACUUUGGAAAUAAGAGGGAUAACUGUUUUUCACGUUUGAACUGUUAGACUUUAAUCCUCUAACCAGUGUUUGAAGUCUUCACAACAAAUUUUGGUGACAUAUCAGUUUGAUCGUUUUUGCAGAAUAAUUUUUUUUUUAGUUAACAGAGAAAGGAAGUCAAAAGGUAUAGUUUCAAAGUACUAAAUUUACUGUGCUCCUGUAACCUAGGAGUGAGUGAGGCAAAGACAAGGGCUUCAGUAGGGAAGCUAAGACCAAUACACUUAAUACUAAACAUGAAUAUUAGAGUAGUCCAGUGCUGGUGCAUGCCUCUAAUCCUAUCACUCAGGAGCCAGAGGCAGGCGGAGCUCUGUGAGGGGCCAGCCUGGUCUACAGAGUGAGCUUCAGGACCGCCUGGGCUAUACAGAGAAACCCUGUCUCAAACAACAAAGACAAACAGAAGGACCCCAAACCACUAGUACACAAAAUUAAAGCCUAGUACACUCAAUACUCUCUCCAUUAUUAAAGAUGAACUAUUAAUAUACAUUUAAAAGAAAAAGUAUGUGGGGUUACAUUUCUUAUUGCAUAACUAUUAUGGUGCAUCCAGAGGCUCAGUCUGAGAUGGCCUAAAACCCAGGCCUUUCCAAGUGCUUCUCCUGCAUGUAAAUGAUCCUCCAGGAUGCCGAGAAGCUCCUUCCCCCAGCCAGCCAACCGUCCUUCCACAGAAAGCUGAGCACUGCCCAAGUACAAAGCCAAGCAGCCCAGAGGUCCGCCUCUCCCUUCCUCUGCUUCACUACCUGGUUUGGGGUUUUCUUUCUCCCAUAGCCACUUCGUGUGUCCUCCUCUUGUCUGCUUUCUUCUUGUCUCUCUUCUCCCUUUCUUCUGUACUCCUUUUAUAUCCUUUUCCUUUCUUGCCCUCAUUUUUCUCUUCCUUGAUUUGAAAAACUUAAUCCAAAAUUUAGUUUCUGUUACCCAUUUUUUCCUGAAUUUGAACAUACGAAAUAGCCCUAAACUAAUUUUAUUCAGGGAUGGGGUGCCCCACCCCAUCCCCUCCCUCCCUCUUCCCCCUCACCAUUUCAUGGUAAUGAAAAACAGCAGUUAAAGAAUGAGAAGGAUUAGAGAAUCAAUGCCCUGUGUGACAUCACUGCUGAGGUGGGGGUGGGUUAGCCAUCCCAGGGCCAAGCAGAAGGGAGCUAGCCAUCUUUUGCUGCCUCUAUGACUCCUGGUCCCUGAGAAAAAUGUGAACUAUCCUGAACUAAACCACAUCCUUGGAAGUGAAGUGGCAACAGUUUUCAUCCUCAACAAUGACAGCUUGGUGGAAAAGAGCACUGAAAUAAAUGCCCAUCACAAUAAAGUCUUUUAUCAGUACAA